rfam:Salmo salar isolate Sally breed double haploid chromosome ssa13, whole genome shotgun sequence.
UGCAUUCACUACUGUAAGUCGUUUUGGAUAAGAGCAUCUGCUAAAUGACAGAAA